rnacentral:rRNA from 1 species
CAAUAGCGUAUAUUUAAGUUGCUGCAGUUAAAAAGCUCGUAGUUGGAUUUCGGGUGGGAAUGGCCGGUCCGCCGUUUCGGUGUGCACUUGCUACGCCCACCUUGCUGCCGGGGAUGUGCUCUUGAGUUCACGCUCGGGACACGGAGUCGGCGAGGUUACUUUGAGUAAAUUAGAGUGUUCAAAGCAGGCCUACGCUCUGAAUACAUUAGCAUGGAAUAACACGAUAGGACUCCGGCCUAUCUUGUUGGUCUGUAGGACCGGAGUAAUGAUUAAGAGGGACAGUCGGGGGCAUUCGUAUUUCAUUGUCAGAGGUGAAAUUCUUGGAUUUAUGAAAGACGAACUACUGCGAAAGCAUUUGCCAAGGAUGUUUUCAUUAA